rnacentral:lncRNA from 1 species
ACACGUUUUUUAACUUUCACACAUGGGCAUCCACUGUGGCUGGGAGGUUAACCAAGUAAUUUUGAUACACGUUUUUUCCAUAUUACAUUAAAAUUAUACUGUGAUGUGUUUGUAGGAUUUUAGUCAGACAUACAACAGGAAAAUAUUGGAAAAAUCUAAAUCAUUGCGUUUAGUGUUCUAGAUGCCAUUGCUUACCUAGGUAGCAGCAGUAAGAAUAUCAAAGAGGUGAUGUUUGAAUGUUACUUUAAUUUUUUUCCUUCCUAUCUGCUUAAAAAAAAAGAGACUAUUUCUAGACCAUGCCUUUUCUGUUAACACUUCAUAUUUUUCCUGAUCUGUCCAGUACUGAGCUUCUAACAUCCUUCUUAACCCUCUUCAGAAUUAGUUUUACAUUAUGCCUAUCAAUUUGUCACUAGUGAGUGGCAUAUGUUGCUAGCAUAUUAAUUUUAAAUGUUUUCCUUUUCUUUAGGGUUAAGAUUUCCCCCUGUGAUCUAUAGCACAUCUUGUGGAUUUUGCCCAAGGUCACAUUGCAAAUCUAGAAGCCAAACACUGGCUCGCUCAAGUGGAAGCUGGAUGCUCAUUUUCAAGGACUAAUCCAGUGACUCACGGGGGGGGGGGGGGGAGACAAACGAAAAGAAUGGCACCCGUGUGUAUAAACACAGCUGUACAGCUCUGUCUGCACUGGAACACAAGGAAUAGGAGUCCUCCAGGAGAACAUAAAAGACAAGGGGGAUAUUCAACUACUCACAGCUCAUUUUCAUGGGAUUCUUGAGCCACAACGUGAAGGGAACAGUGUUGACCUCCAACAUUGUAAAAGAAAAGCCUUUCGGGGAUGAUGAAGUUAACAGACUGCCUUCGACGUCAAAGGCCACCUUUGGUGGUACUGCGGUAAUGGGGAGAUUCUCACGACACAAAUAAACUGCCAACGGGAAAUGGUAUUUAGAAUCGUUUGAUUCAGGUAAAAUUGGAAGAGUAUCCCAUCAAGGUUAUUUUUCCUACCACCUCUCUUGCAGCUGGCUGUGGCCAAAUGACUACAUGUUAUCUGGAGGGAGGCUGGUGACAUCACAUGUGCUAAGCUUGGCCAAUGUGCCUACAAGGGAUGGAAUGUCCUUUCCCCUUUCCCAUGCGCUGUCCCUUCAGAGUGGAAUGAGACAAGUUGGGAUAAACUGAAGAAGGGUUCAUCUUAAACCAUGACAUGAUGGAGUAAGCCUGGGUCCCUAAUGAUGAGGGAGCGAAAGGCAGGCUGAGGGCAAAGCAAUCUAGCAUCCCCUACUCACUCUCCCCCCAACUCCCAUGGGAUAUGUGUGACAUUCCUCAGUCACUCCUGGCUGCCCAAGAACAAAGGAAGCAGGCAAGAAAACAAAUGGCUGAAUGACAGAAAUGACAGCCAUGUAGGACAUGAGUCUCCGUCAGUUUAUGAAUGUCUUAGUAAAUUACAAGAUAAAGGCAAUCUUGUCAAUAGCCUAACCUCCAGAAACCCAAAGAGUCAGUUUCCUGGAGCCCCAACAUCACCCUCCCCUCCAUAGUCAUGUGGAAACAAAGACAAGAAGGAAAUGGCAGGUAAAAUUAAAUUUCUUUAUAAUCUGCAGCCCACUGAUAAAUACUUGAGGCAAAUACAAAGUAUAACAUUUCUCCAGGAACCCCCUACCAUCCUAAUGUUAAUAACUAGAGGGGAAACAACCUUAGCUUGACAACAGCCAGGCCUCCAUUAUCUUAUGAGUCAUCUUUAGCAUAUCAAAGUCUUUUUGGAAAACUCCCUUUUUUUACCUCCCCAACUCCACAAUAUAUAAUCAGUCUCUCCUCACAACCCCAGUACAGCUCUUUCUGCCCAUGGGUCCUGUCCCUGUGCUUUAAUAUAACCACCUUUUUGCACCAAAGAUGUCUCAAGAAUUCUUUCUUGGGCAUUGGCUCCUGACCA